GUGAGAUGGUUUUGGCAGCAAUCACACUAAACAGGGAUUUUCCAAUCUUGGCUGCUAACAUGAGAUUCCUUGUUUAGGAUCACGUUGCUUGUAGAUUACAGAAUUGGCCACAGAAUAGACACACUGCUCAAAUGACAGAUUUGUCCAACCUGUGCUGUGUUACAGGAAACGAGGCCAUGUUUUGUAAACCAGAGCUAAUAUUUUCCAUCUGUAACCAAGUACAAGACUGAUGAAGGACAUAAAGAAUAUUAUGCAAUGGAGAAUGACUGAAAGGAGAAAUCUCAAGCCUUAAGAUAUUGUGUUUCACUUAUUUGCUUCUCUCAUUAAUUUUCAGGACACCUCAAAUAAUAAUACAAUUCUUACCUAGCUAAGUAUAUCUUAAACAAUCCAAAGCAGCUAUAAUCAGAUACUCCAAAGAAACUUUUAUAGCUAUCCUGGGCUUUAAGACAAAACAUUUCCAUUUAGAAGCUGACUUUGUAACAUCCCCAUGAAAAUACAUUGUGCGUGUUACUGGGUAAAACAUUUUGCUUGUGCUUUUUGCCCCCCUCCUUCCUAAAGGACUAAACUGGCUCUGCUAAAUUUCUGGUGAACUCAAACAGGUAGGGUAUGAGAAAUCCAGGACUCCCAUUUCUAUCCUGGCUAUCCCCCUGAAGAUGACAAAUUUAGAAAUGAAGUACCAGAUAUUAGGCACAAAGAGCUUCCUAUUUCUAGUUAGAAGAACAAUAGAAUCUGUAAUGCACAUAUAUGCAUGCUGUAGUAUUCAAGGAUAGUCAACUUUUGUUAUCUUUUAAUUGGAUAUUUGCUUGUAGUGGUGCUAAAAAAACUCUUCCCAUUUAGGUGUGUGAAUGGUGGAAAAGAAGGGAAGUCUCCUAAACAAUUCAAAAGAUACCUACAUCAGGGAUACUUGGUAGUCUGUAGACAGAAAUAAAAAAUAGUCUAUUCCUGAAACAAGUAUUUCAAGUAGGUUGGAUGAUGCAUCACAGGCUCCAGAAAUGGAUUAAUGACAGAUGAAUGGACCCCACAUCUCUGGAUAGGUGCAGGUUUGUGUGCCACCUCUUGGUUGUUGGAUUGUUGUUUUUUUAAUGGUGACCAUUUCCUCAAAGGUUUUCCUGUUUGGUUUUCUUUCCUCUCUAUAGGACAGCUCCCUCUCAGGCAGCAUUUUAUUCCUAAAAUUCACUUCAUGGGAAUUGAAUCUUGAGGGAAGGGAAACUGGUUUCCUGGUUCUCUGGAAAGAGUUCUUGCUGACACUUCAUCACAUGAGCAUCAAGUGUGUACAAACAAGAUUUCAAACAUGCAAGACUGGAAUUGUAUUUUAGAAGACAGUGUCUGGAAGCGACAAUGUGAAAGUGUGGGCUGAGCAAAGGAGACCGAGAACUUAAAAUACAUAAAUAAAUAAACAUUGUAGUAGAACCACUGCAGGGUAUAAAGGGAACGCUGCUGCCAGGCUGGGUCUUUCAGGGAGCUGGGACAGAGAACCUAGCAGGUUUUGUGUUGAACAGAUGGCCACAAAAAUGUCAUGCUCAUAGAAGGGGAUUUCCAAAAGGGCAGAAUUUGGCUCCAUUUCUCCUAGCUUGUGGUGUCUGCACCAGUCGUGGGGUUGUGUUUUAACUGCAGAGAGAAAAUGCUCUGUCUAUAAGGGAAAUAGUCCUCUGCUAGGUUUUAUUUAAUAGUGAAUGAAUGUGUAAAGACUAUGAGUGGUGUGAUUUUUUUUAUUUUUUUUUUUCCUCCUAUAAACCAUUUCACCUACUUCUGCCCUAAUUUCCAUCUACCUCCAGAGUAGCACUUGACUCUGACCAGGACUAUGGUGAUGCUGUAUAAAUAUUUUUAAGUGCUUCUAGAAAGCCAGUUUUCUGUACAAAACCAUGGCAAAUAAUUCAAGAGAAAUAAAGUAGCAUAGGUGACUUGCUUUUACUGGAUAAUAAAUGCCAGUAUAAAAUCUGGGGUUUCUAAUAAUAUAUUUUAGAUAUAAACGUGCUUAUAGAACAUGUUUUCAAGCAAAGUUUAGUAUCAAACAGAAUGGUUUUCUUAUGCUGAGCAACAAGCAUUUCCAGGUGCAAACUGCUUGCAGUGAUGCUAGAAUCUAUGGUAAGCUGUGGCUGCAUAAGGGAGGGAAGUGCUGGUACACCUUUGUGUGGUAAUAUUGUCACAGGCCGCUGUUUCAAAGAAGUUGUCAUCCUAUCUCAAGCAAUCAGAGGUGGAAAAAAUGAAAGGUCAGUCUUCAAAAGAACACCCUUAAACUCCUUGCUGGCUGACAUGACAGGGGGUGUGUGUCUUAAAGGUAGGUAUCCAAAAGUAAUUCAUUUAUUAAUUGUUGCUAAAUGUAAUUCAUUAUUCUCUGAUGUAUGUUUGUCUCUGGCCUCUUCCACCUUCCUGUUUUAUAUAUUUAACCCUGUCAAUGUGGUACUUUAUCAUCUUUAUCACUACAGCUUCUCCAAGUAAUGGAAAAAAAUAGAUUGUGUUGGGUAGUCCUUUCUGCUUGAGACCAUAUUAUUUUGGCAAAAUGGGCCCUUUGACUCCAAAACCAAUCGGAUUCAAAUACUGGUAGACUGAUCACAGUUCACAGUGAAAAAUUAAAGGUGAGCAGGACUGCCUUCAGCCCUCAUGCUUCUCUUCAGAAAAAAACAGCUCAUAAAUAGUGCAGGCUCUCCCACUCUGCUCUUUAGCAGUCCUCGCACAUAGCCAUAGACCUACUCGCAUUUGUCACAGCAUGUCCCAAGAGCUCAGCCAAGGCAGGAAUUCAGCUUUACUAAUCCCAAGCAGCUUCCUGCAAGAUCAAGUAUCAGGGAAAGAAAUAUGUUCUUUUAUAGCAAAACUAAAUUUCUAACCCCUCGCCUCAUGCCAGAACCAAUGCUGCCACUCGCUCCAGUCUCAGUGGUGAGUCAAAGGUGGCAGAUGUCCCUGCUGCCUUCAACCUUCCUCCCCCAUCUGAUUUGGAGCCUGCGAGUUGUUAUUGGUAAUUCAUGCCUAUUGGUUUCCCAGCCAUAACCUGUGCUGUAUUCAGCAGAGUCCAUCAGAAGUCAUCCAGUUGCAGAGAGGGAAUUGUCUUUAUGCUUUCUGGAAGUGCUGACUUUACCAAAUGCUGUUCCUUCUCUCCUAGAAACGAUCUGAGGCUGGAACUGUUUAAGUUUGCCUUACAUUAGAGUUCAAAGUAAGAAUUCACCUUUCACUUUUGUCCAAAAGUAGAUGUAUUCUGUAUUUGGUGACACUAAUUCUUCUACAUGCUGAUACUGUUGUAAAGUAAGACCUUCACCUUGUAAAGCUCUAACUGUUGAUAUUUGGUAUUGUUUUUCUAAGGGUAAGACUAUGCUUCAGGCCCUAAUUAGGUCUGAUUUGAGAAAUAGACAAUUGUUGAUACCUGUUCAUUUUAGCCUGUUUGUUGGUCACUGUUUGGAGACAAAGGUAGGUUUGGAACUGGAGAUCUUAAUCUGAAUCUAAAUAACAGGGACACACGAUAAAGCCAGUCCUUCCAAAAUGAUUGCUGCUGCUGGAAUCGCUAAGUGCCUCCUUGCUGCUUCAGACCAGGCUGGGGACAACUGGCUGUCUAUUCUCUGGCCUGGGCUCUGUUAGGGUGGUUGUCUGGCUCAGCCAGGCGUGAGUCUGCUGCCUUGGAGCAGUUCAGAGGCAGUGUAAGGAUAGCUUUUAGUUGCUGCUUGCAUUGACUAUACCUCUUAUUUUAAGAUGAGUAGCGAAGACAGGCAACAAAGUUGCUGCAGAAAAUUGGUGUCAGUGAGCCUCUAUAACUAGCUGACCUCCUGACAUUUGCAGCAACAAGCUAAAGGCCAGCUGCUGCAAAGGAAUGUUUUCCUGUCCAGUGUUGGCUGGAAAUACCUGUGAUGAUUGUGAAUAAGUCUAGCACUGAGAUAGGGAAUAGGACUGGGGAAAGGAAAUCAUUUAAGCUUGUUUAUGGGGAUCCUGUUGAUUGUAGUUUUGUUUGUAAUUGGCUGUUGAUACGGAGGAUUGCAGGAACCCACUCCUCCUUAAGUCACAGUUAAGUCUUCCUAAACUGAUUAAACAUUUUCAUAGUUGUAAGGCAGUGGUUUGCACUUGACAUGGAGGCUCCAGCUCAGAAAGCCCUGGAUGCUGAUUCAGGUCUUGGAUCCUUCAUCUAAUUUGGAUGAAGGAGACUACUUCACUAUUGUCAUUGCUGUUCAGAGGUACGGCUGUGUUACUGAAUGGAGCCAGGAAACAGGGUCAAAGAAUUCAUAAUGGAUGGUGCCUGAGUUGGAAAGUUGGAGCUGAGAUGUCAUGGCAGAACUAAAAGCUGUCAUGGCUGUGACUUGGAGUCAGAUCUGUGGGCUGGAUUCAUUGCCAACCUUGCAGCUCCUUGCACCGGGACUCCGACUUAUCCUAAGAACUGGUUUUCUUGUCACGAUUCAAGACUGAAUUAGUGAAGGACAAGUGCAAUGACAAAGGUUGGUAGCAGGGCAUGGUCCUGCUCUUUGUGCUGCCUGUAGGUUUGGGCUGAAGUCAGGGUCUGGGUGUGUGGCUGUCCAGUGACUCACUCAGGGGCAGUGUUUACAGGAGGGAAAACACAGGGCCAGAAUGAAUUAAACACCUUAUUUGUUCAGUGGUUCCCAUUGUUUCCCAUUUUGGGAAAUUCACUCUUCAGUCUGUGUCCAACUCACUUGAAAGCCUUGUGUGUAUGUGUGAUAUUUGGAUCUCUGAGAACAGCUCUGACCCAUUACAUUUCUUUUCAGUGGUAAAUUGUUAUUUAUAGUAAGGAGUUUGACUGAAGCUAUGGAGCUAUUGGCUGUAUGUCUUACAAGGCAAGCCAAACAGGGAACCAAAAUAAUUCUGAUUCAAUUUCCUCUAAGCCCAAGCCCUGCUGCUACUUGUGGGAUCUUUAAAAAAAAAAUAAUCUCAUUAAAGCCUUUCUGACCUGUUUGGUUCCUUCUUUAUCUUACAGAAUGUGGACCUUUCAUCCAAUUAAAGCACUGAAAAACAAGAGUUCCAUGUAGCUGGGAAGUUGGAAGGAACAAGUUGUAAAGUUAUGCUCUCCUUCUGUAAGGAAGGUUUAUUGUAUCUUUAGCUGGUUUUCUCCCUAGUUAUCAUCGAAGGGCACAUGGAUACCUGGAUCUACACAAUGGAGAAGUGGAGGCACUGGGGAGACUUGUGUCUUUUAACCCAGGAAACUGCAGAUGUAAGAUGCCUCAAAGAGCAAAGGAUGCUCAAGAGGAGGAUAAAAUUUGGUAUUUUACUAUUUCAGAUGCUCAAGUGGGCUGGGUUCUGUUUUUUGAAGUCUCAUCUCUGUCCCUACUUUGAUUACCUGCUUUCCUCUGAGUAUUUCCCUUUACUUUUACAGCUGUAAUUGAGCAACUAUAUGACAGAAACUCCUGGAUUUCUUCUCCUCAUCAGUUCUGAUAAUGCAGGUUUGAAUUAAAUGCCACAGAAGCAGUUCAUAGAAGAGCAAAGGUGAUGCUGUGUUGGAUUCCUCUUUGCCUGGGUAGCAAGCUGGCAUUGGGCCGGGACCAGCCAUGGUUUACCAGCCUUGUGUGAUGUGGAGAAUUGCUUCAGCACAGAAAGACUGUAAACCUGUUCAAUUAAAGGAAGUGCUCAGAUCCAGCUGUUGACGUCCUGUGAAUGCCAGCGGCCCUAGCAAAGUAAAUAAGGCAGACACACUCCGCCCUUGGAACAGAUACAAAGAUUUGAGCCUUAAUUCUCCUGAAAGAAGAGUCUUUGUUUGGAAAAGACCGUUAGCAAAAGUAAGAGGAAUGUAAGACUUGAUGCAUAAAAUACCCGGUUAGACAAAGUCUUCUGCAGAUAACAGAGAGGUCUCUAUAGUAGGGGUCUAGUAAAAAAAAAA